CUCCUCUCAGGAUGGCACCUGGAGAGUUUCCAGUACUCUACAGUCUUGGCAACAAAAGGGAGAGUCAAGCAGGGGCAUAUCCAUUCCAUUCCUAGCUUGGGCAGUGGCUAGCGAGUGGAAGGCCAUCUGCCACAAGU